UUGCUUUCAACCCUAUUCUCUUUUAUUCAUACCAAAAGAAACUCUUGAUAGAAUCUCUCCCUCUCCAACAAACCGGCCUAGUUUUCUCUCUCUAGGUUUUCUCCUACAAUUUCUUCUUUGAGGGGUGGUUUUGGGUCAAUUCUUGACCUGAAAUCACCCCUCUUCAUCUUUUUCUCUUUAUUUCAAUCUAAACAAGUGAUUUUCACAUAGAUCUAGGUUUUUUUUCUUUGUAAUUUCAUCAUCUAAGUGUGGUGAUUUGUUGUUCGUCGUCUUGUGCGCGUUGUUUGAUUUCCUAUCUUCGUGCGGUGUUCAUUUAAUUCAUAUUGAAAGAUCGAUUGUUCAAUCAAAUAUUUGGGCGUCAACGUUGCAGAUCCGGAGGCAACGAAUAUUCCGGUCACUUUAAUUUCAUCAUAUAUUUUUGUAGGCAUUAUGUCGUUAUAUGCUAUUAAUUUGGAUGUUGUGAGUUUGUUCGCAGAUUCAUCCUUUACGUUUUUAGCGUUGUUGAAUGAUGUAAUAUCUCGAUUUGAAUGAAUGAAUAUCAUUUUGUUUUUGUAAAAAAAAAAAAC
rnacentral:lncRNA from 1 species